GGGUUGUGAGGUUAAGCGACUAAGCGUACACGGUGGAUGCCCUGGCAGUCAGAGGCGAUGAAGGGCGUGCUAAUCUGCGAUAAGCGCCGGUAAGGUGAUAUGAACCGUUAUAACCGGCGAUACCCGAAUGGGGAAACCCAGUGUGAUUCGUCACACUAUCAUUAACUGAAUCCAUAGGUUAAUGAGGCGAACCGGGGGAACUGAAACAUCUAAGUACCCCGAGGAAAAGAAAUCAACCGAGAUUCCCCCAGUAGCGGCGAGCGAACGGGGAGGAGCCCAGAGCCUGAAUCAGCAUGUGUGUUAGUGGAAGCGUCUGGAAAGGCGCGCGAUACAGGGUGACAGCCCCGUACACAAAAGCGCAUGUGCUGUGAGCUCGAUGAGUAGGGCGGGACACGUGGUAUCCUGUCUGAAUAUGGGGGGACCAUCCUCCAAGGCUAAAUACUCCUGACUGACCGAUAGUGAACCAGUACCGUGAGGGAAAGGCGAAAAGAACCCCGGCGAGGGGAGUGAAAAAGAACCUGAAACCGUGUACGUACAAGCAGUGGGAGCACAGGUUUACCUGUGUGACUGCGUACCUUUUGUAUAAUGGGUCAGCGACUUAUAUUCUGUAGCAAGGUUAACCGGAUAGGGGAGCCGCAGGGAAACCGAGUCUUAACCGGGCGUUAAGUUGCAGGGUAUAGACCCGAAACCCGGUGAUCUAGCCAUGGGCAGGUUGAAGGUUGGGUAACACUAACUGGAGGACCGAACCGACUAAUGUUGAAAAAUUAGCGGAUGACCUGUGGCUGGGGGUGAAAGGCCAAUCAAACCGGGAGAUAGCUGGUUCUCCCCGAAAGCUAUUUAGGUAGCGCCUCGUGAACUCAUCUUCGGGGGUAGAGCACUGUUUCGGCUAGGGGGUCAUCCCGACUUACCAACCCGAUGCAAACUGCGAAUACCGGAGAAUGUUAUCACGGGAGACACACGGCGGGUGCUAACGUCCGUCGUGAAGAGGGAAACAACCCAGACCGCCAGCUAAGGUCCCAAAGUCAUGGUUAAGUGGGAAACGAUGUGGGAAGGCCCAGACAGCCAGGAUGUUGGCUUAGAAGCAGCCAUCAUUUAAAGAAAGCGUAAUAGCUCACUGGUCGAGUCGGCCUGCGCGGAAGAUGUAACGGGGCUAAACCAUGCACCGAAGCUGCGGCAGCGACGCUUAUGCGUUGUUGGGUAGGGGAGCGUUCUGUAAGCCGUUGAAGGUGGCCUGUGAGGGUUGCUGGAGGUAUCAGAAGUGCGAAUGCUGACAUAAGUAACGAUAAAGCGGGUGAAAAGCCCGCUCGCCGGAAGACCAAGGGUUCCUGUCCAACGUUAAUCGGGGCAGGGUGAGUCGACCCCUAAGGCGAGGCCGAAAGGCGUAGUCGAUGGGAAACAGGUUAAUAUUCCUGUACUCGGUGUUACUGCGAAGGGGGGACGGAGAAGGCUAUGUUGGCCGGGCGACGGUUGUCCCGGUUUAAGCAUGUAGGCGGGUGUUCCAGGUAAAUCCGGAACGCUGUUAACGCUGAGGUGUGAUGACGAGGCACUACGGUGCUGAAGCAACAAAUGCCCUGCUUCCAGGAAAAGCCUCUAAGCAUCAGGUAACAUCAAAUCGUACCCCAAACCGACACAGGUGGUCAGGUAGAGAAUACCAAGGCGCUUGAGAGAACUCGGGUGAAGGAACUAGGCAAAAUGGUGCCGUAACUUCGGGAGAAGGCACGCUGAUGGUAGGUGAAGUGAUUUACUCAUGGAGCUGAAAUCAGUCGAAGAUACCAGCUGGCUGCAACUGUUUAUUAAAAACACAGCACUGUGCAAACACGAAAGUGGACGUAUACGGUGUGACGCCUGCCCGGUGCCGGAAGGUUAAUUGAUGGGGUUAUCCUCGCGGAGAAGCUCUUGAUCGAAGCCCCGGUAAACGGCGGCCGUAACUAUAACGGUCCUAAGGUAGCGAAAUUCCUUGUCGGGUAAGUUCCGACCUGCACGAAUGGCGUAAUGAUGGCCAGGCUGUCUCCACCCGAGACUCAGUGAAAUUGAACUCGCUGUGAAGAUGCAGUGUACCCGCGGCAAGACGGAAAGACCCCGUGAACCUUUACUAUAGCUUGACACUGAACACUGGUCCUUGAUGUGUAGGAUAGGUGGGAGGCUUUGAAGUGUGGACGCCAGUCUGCAUGGAGCCGUCCUUGAAAUACCACCCUUUAAUGGCUGGUGUUCUAACGUGGGCCCGUGAUCCGGGUUGCGGACAGUGUCUGGUGGGUAGUUUGACUGGGGCGGUCUCCUCCCAAAGAGUAACGGAGGAGCACGAAGGUUGGCUAAUCCUGGUCGGACAUCAGGAGGUUAGUGCAAUGGCAUAAGCCAGCUUGACUGCGAGCGUGACGGCGCGAGCAGGUGCGAAAGCAGGUCAUAGUGAUCCGGUGGUUCUGAAUGGAAGGGCCAUCGCUCAACGGAUAAAAGGUACUCCGGGGAUAACAGGCUGAUACCGCCCAAGAGUUCAUAUCGACGGCGGUGUUUGGCACCUCGAUGUCGGCUCAUCACAUCCUGGGGCUGAAGUAGGUCCCAAGGGUAUGGCUGUUCGCCAUUUAAAGUGGUACGCGAGCUGGGUUUAGAACGUCGUGAGACAGUUCGGUCCCUAUCUGCCGUGGGCGCUGGAGAACUGAGGGGGGCUGCUCCUAGUACGAGAGGACCGGAGUGGACGCAUCACUGGUGUUCGGGUUGUCAUGCCAAUGGCACUGCCCGGUAGCUAAAUGCGGAAGAGAUAAGUGCUGAAAGCAUCUAAGCACGAAACUUGCCCCGAGAUGAGUUCUCCCUGAGACUUUAGAGUCUCCUGAAGGAACGUUGAAGACGACGACGUUGAUAGGCCGGGUGUGUAAGCGCAGCGAUGCGUUGAGCUAACCGGUACUAAUGAACCGUGAGGCUUAACCUUACAACGCCGAAG
rnacentral:rRNA from 1 species